rnacentral:lncRNA from 1 species
GUUUGCAUCUGUGCUUUAGGAAUUAUUGACUGUUCUAAUUGCUUUAUUUGAAUGUUAUCUCUUGUUUCUUUAAUAUGGGGCAUUUAAACAGCUCCUGAACUUGAAACUUGUUGUGAUUGUAUCUUGGGAAUAAAAUUACUUUUAAUGGGAAUAUAUGUUUGAGUGAUAAAUGCAAGUUAAUAGAUAUUACUUAAUUUAUUACACAUUUUUAAAUAUUUAUACUUAAUCUUUACAGAUAACAUUUUGUGUACAAACUAAUUCAUUGAUUAGACUUCCUGAUCACAUUAACGAAUAUUAAUUGAAUGAUAAUUGAAUAUAUAAUUAGGAGAUACAAAGACAAAACUAAAAAAGGAAAUUAAGAUCUAAACACACUGCAUGCCAACAUGUAUGCAGUCAGUUUUA